rnacentral:rRNA from 1 species
UACGUAGGGUGCAAGCGUUAAUCGGAAUACUGGGCGUAAAGCGUGCGCAGGCGGUUAUGCAAGACAGAUGUGAAAUCCCCGGGCUCAACCUGGGAACUGCAUUUGUGACUGCAUAGCUAGAGUACGGUAGAGGGGGAUGGAAUUCCGCGUGUAGCAGUGAAAUGCGUAGAUAUGCGGAGGAACACCGAUGGCGAAGGCAAUCCCCUGGACCUGUACUGACGCUCAUGCACGAAAGCGUGGGGAGCAAACAGG